UUUAGUAAAACCCAUCUUUGAACACUUAGUUUUAAGACAAUUUUUAUAAAAUUGUCGUCGUACAUUUCCUAUUAUUUACAAAAGUGACACUGCUUGAUAUUCUAAGACAGUGAACCGUCUUAGAAUGUGCGUCGUAAAAAGUUAUUUUUUUUAAUAGUGAACCCGAUUAGAAAGCUUGGCCAAAACUCCGUUGACGGUGAGCAAAAUGACGCUUGAACCAAAAAAUAAUGUUGGGGAAAACAACGGUGGUACCCAAUACCUUCCCAAACGUGGCCAUUCAAUCUCAUUGAUCUCAUGUGCCACUCUGCUCAACAAGUUCUCAUCUUUUAAUUUCUCCUUCCUCUCCGUCAUUGCCUUCUUCAGUUUUAAUGCUAACUCUGCUUUCGGUUCGGGUUCAAAAUUCUCUUGGCUUUCCUCCACGGCACCGACCACUAGCAUCUGGUGCCUCUCUGGAAGUGGCAAGAUUUCGAUUGAAGCGAGGGGUUGGGGCUUGAAGAGCACAAAAGUAGUGAGUGCAAGUUGUAGAGGGGAUAAUGGAAAGUGUGACCGUGAUGUCAGUGGUGACUAUAAUUAAGUGUGAUUGUGAUGUCAGUAGGGCUUCCGUCCAUCUUUUCAAAAUUUUUCAAAAUCCAGAAUUUACUCUUUCUUCUUCUUCCCGUGCUACCUACCUACACUAGCUCUACACCUCUGAGCUACCAAACCUUAAGGUCACGUCGUUGAGCUAGGAAGCUUCUUAACCUGUUGAUCACCCUUAUUUAGCAACCUCACCUCAUUUCUCCGUCUCCAUCUUUUUGUUUGACACCACGACACAACACUCGGAAAUUUAUGGCGAUCCCUGUGUCUCCCCCUAUUUUUUCUAAAUCUAACAACAAACAUCCCACAGGUGCACAUUUCUCUUCCUCCCUUUCAGAUCUAUUAUCCAUGCAUGCUAUUCAAUUCCAAUUCCACACCAUUUUUUGCAUCGUCCCUUUUGACUCAUUUCUCUCCUUAUUAUUAUUCCCAUUAAUAAUCUAGCAAAUUGCUUUUUCCUUCUCCACCUUUUGAAACCAAAUUAAUUGUCUUAUCACGAUCGAAUAGAAAUUCAUUGUAUCAACAGAAUUUCAAUUCCAUGCUAUGCUGGUUAGCUCUUCUAGGUUUUUUAUCAAAGAAAAAAAACAUAAAUUAAUGAUUUCAGAGAAGUUUUAGUAAGGUAAUUAAUCACAACGGUUAAAAUUUUUUAUGGACAAUGUUCUUAACCAUAGAGUUAGUUAUAAUAAAAUUUGAAAUUGAUCAAAUUUUUUUGAAUGCACAUAAAAUUGGUCGAAUUUGAAAUUAAAAGUAAAAUUUGAUGAUUUAUUCUGUCUUGAGCUGUCGAUGAAAAUGCGCUGAAAUUUUAAUUGAUUGAUUAUAAUUAUUUUCAGUGGCACAUAUCAAUUAUUGGCUAUGGGAGACAUGAUUGUAACAUAUAAAAUAUGAGGUGGAUGAAGUCAUGAAGUUGGAAAUCCAUUAAGAGAGGACAAGACAUUGUUCAUGCAAUUGAUGUACCACAAAUUGUGGGUUGACAAAAAAUUUCACUGGAGUGCUAUGAUGGGUUGAUCGGAAAUGCAGUUGAGAGCUCUAGGUUAGGCCGCUCCACCUCUCACCGCUCUGGUCCCACCACUGCAGAUCCAUCCUCAUUUCCUGCGAUUCCUCCAAGUGAUGAGAAAAAUGAAAUAGAGAAUGAAGCCAUUGAUGACAAUGUUGAUCUUCAAGAAGUUAUUUCUAAGGGCUCUUUAGAUUUUGACAAAUGGACUUUACUGAUUUCAGAGAUUGAGAAAGGAAUGGUCUUGAUGUUGCUGGUAAGACCACUAUCCUCUACAAGGUCAAGCUUAGAGAGAUCGUUAUUACAAUUCCUCCUAUUGGGUUCAAUGUUGAGACUAGAAUACAAGAACACUAGCGUCACUGUUUGGGAUGUUGGUGGCCAGGAUAAGAAGAGAAGUUAAUUGGAGGAUGGGAAGCAAGGGUGCCUUCAUUCUUGUGUUGCUUGUGGCACGGGAAGAUAUGGUAGAAUUCAAAUGAUUGUUUCUUCUAAGUUUAUUUUCUUGGGAGGUGUUACUUCCAAUUUUGUUCAUUUUUUAUUAGGAGGUGUUACAAUGUUUCUAAAGUAUUUCAAUGCUUUCUUAGGCUCUAAUAA